rnacentral:rRNA from 1 species
UACGAAGGGAUCUAGCGUUGUUCGGAUUUACUGGGCGUAAAGGGCGCGUAGGCGGUUAUGUAAGUAAGAUGUGAAAGCCCUGGGCUUAACCCGGGAACUGCAUUUUAAACUGCAUAGCUUGAGUGUUGGAGAGGUAAGUAGAAUUCCCAGUGUAGAGGUGAAAUUCGUAGAUAUUGGGAAGAAUGCCAGUGGCGAAGGCGACUUACUGGACAACAACUGACGCUGAGGCGCGAAAGCGUGGGGAGCAAACAGG